UUCGACACCUCGUUGGGGUCUGCGCUCCUUGACCCUAUCAGCCAUGAAGCGUGAAAGGUAGGAGUGCCGGCAAGAGGAAGCUGAGUGUACACUGUCAUGGCUUGAGGAAGCAGCCACACGCGC
rnacentral:SRP_RNA from 14 species